CACACAUAGAAUAGGCUUAAUAAGUUUAAGUUUGUUGUUUCUUGUUUGUUUGUUUGUUUUAUUGUGUUCAAUAGUAUAAAUAUUAUAUUUCAGGCUCUUACAGAAAUUGGCCAGUUAACUGACAGCUAUUUGUAUCCAAAUGUAGAAACGAGUUCAGUGUUAAAUGCCAAGACAUCAUUCACUGCAAGUUUUGUAUUCAAAGUUGCUAUUAAUGAUGAAAUCAUCAAUGACAUUGCCGAAGCCUUUGCUACAUCCCAUGAACGUUUUGGUGGUAGCUUUGGGGACUCUGCUAUUUCUUUUACUGACACACUUGCUAUUUUUAGAUCCCAAGAUGACCUUAAGAAUAGCUUAUCAGCUCUCAAGUGGUGUAAAUAUCUUGUAGCUCUUCAGAGUCAUUUUAGUUUUGUCAUUUGUGACUUAGAGAAAACCUGCAAUGAUACAGCUCUGUUUUUUGAUUGUGUUUCAACUGAAG
rnacentral:sRNA from 1 species